rnacentral:lncRNA from 1 species
AUCUGUUUCCUAUAUGACUAUAAUACUGGAUAAGAUAUAUUUUAAAAUAUCUUUCUUCUUAUAUUGCAGUUUUACGUCUUGAUUUUAUAGUCAUCCGUUUAUAACUUUUCAAAUCUUCAGGAUAUUUCGAUGGUUUAUAUUAGCAUAUUGAUGAAAUUCUUACAGGAACCGAAAAUCGUGAAUGCCGUUAUAAAGAUUUUUUACCUUUGAUUCUUAGACCAUUAUAAAAAUUUUCAUUUUCUUUUUCCCCUUAUGUUGUUCGAGAGAGAACAAAUUUCCAUCCAUAAAUUGAACAAAAAGAAUUUUUUUUUCUCUCUCAUCCUCCAUAAGCAUCAUGACCUAUGUGUUAUAUACCCGGGAAAUAUUCAAUAUUCGGAAAAAGAAUUCGGUUCAACACGAAGAUAGAUUUAUUUUUUAUAUCCAUCAUAAAUUUUUGUGAAGAUAUAUUGUUAUAUUUUACCUUUUUGGUGUUAUUUUAUCACGUUAGUAGGUUGGGAUUUUCAAAACAAUCUGUAUUUUCAAAGUGGAUAAAGCAAAACUUCCAUUUUGUUCUAUUAUUCCUUCAGAGAUUUCCUCUUAAAUUAGUUAACAGAAAAAUCAAUAUUUCAGUUGAAUGCUGUUUUUGAAGUAACACGAAACAACGGAUUCCCGAAUGAAUCAUCUAUGGCAAAAACAAUACUCCAGAUAUAUAUAUAUAUAUAUCAGACUGGAUAAUUAACAAAUUUUAUUUAUUCAAACGGCAGUUAUUUCUUUUAUUCCUUCCUUACAUACAUAUAUAGGGAGUUUCAGGGGAUUUGUUUACACAGAGUUCUCUUGUGUAAAUUAAGGUUUACAACUCCACAAUCAAUACAACUAUUACAUUUUACGGUUAAACAUUCAGUUCACGAUGAUCUCUUCUUUUGAUCCGUAUCACUUUAGCUUAUAAAUGUUAUGCUGGUCACGUCAUUUAGUGGUCCGUUCUCUCACCUGAUGUAUCUACAUCUAACUGGAGAAUGCUUUUCGUAUAGUGUACCGGAUUUCGCUACAUCCUUUCUUUUUUUAAAGCAACGCUUGAUUUAUUCGUAUUUUACUGUUCUUCGUCCCACCGAUUUUAUUAAAGAGAUUUUAAAAGGAUACCAACAUUCGACUACUACCUGAACCUUAAUAAAAUUUAUAGUUAUGUAAUGAAAUCAAUUUGAUAGAAUUUACUGUGCAAAACAAAACAACCUUGACGUUUAUCGUAACCUAGAGAAGUUACUUCUAUCGAUGUAUAGUAAAUAAUUGAUUUAAUAAUGCAGCCUGG